rnacentral:rRNA from 1 species
UAGCGUAGGGGGCAAGCGUUGUCCGGAUUUAUUGGGCGUAAAGCGCUCGCAGGUGGCCCGUUGCGUCGUGCGUGAAAGAACCUCGGCUCAACCGGGGAGGGUCGUGCGAUACGGGGCGGGACUGGAAGGCCAGUAGGGGGAUGCGGGAAUUCCGGGUGUAGUGGUGGAAUGCGUAGAGAUCCGGAGGAACACCAGCGGCGAAGGCGGACAUCCUGGACUGGGUCCUGACACUCAGGAGCGAAAGGCGUGGGGGAA